rnacentral:rRNA from 1 species
AACGAACGCUGGCGGCAUGCCUAACACAUGCAAGUCGAACGAGACCUUCGGGUCUAGUGGCGCACGGGUGCGUAACGCGUGGGAACCUGCCCUUAGGUUCGGAAUAACUCCCCGAAAGGGGUGCUAAUACCGGAUAAUGUCUUCGGACCAAAGAUUUAUCGCCUUUGGAUGGGCCCGCGUUGGAUUAGCUAGUUGGUAGGGUAAAAGCCUACCAAGGCGACGAUCCAUAGCUGGUCUGAGAGGAUGAUCAGCCACACUGGGACUGAGACACGGCCCAGACUCCUACGGGAGGCAGCAGUGGGGAAUAUUGGACAAUGGGCGAAAGCCUGAUCCAGCAAUGCCGCGUGAGUGAUGAAGGCCUUAGGGUUGUAAAGCUCUUUUACCCGGGAUGAUAAUGACAGUACCGGGAGAAUAAGCGCCGGCCAACUCCGUG